ACGGUAAAGGUGCAGGACCAGAGGCAGAAAGACCUGGGGCUAUUGAUGCAGUUGCAUAACCAUGAGAGACAGGUCCAAACGGAAAAAAGCCUGAAAUGCAACGUAGAAAGUCUUAACAUGUGCGCGUAUGAAAAUAUUCUUAUUUCAUAUACAAACCCAAACCAGGAUUUUUGUAAGCAAGAGCCUGUGCCAGACUCGGCAAUACUCUUUGAGCUAAUUGAGGAUUUCCAAUACUCGAACUAAAGGAUUGAUAAGAGCUCGGACCACCGAAGGAAAAUGAUGUUUGAGUUAAUCCUGGCCUGACAAAACUAAAAGAUGCGUGUUGUUCUGGUCCACCCAAAACAUUUGUAGGCUUUAUACCACCUUGCACAGGUGCUUCCAUUGCUACCAAGCUGCAUAAUAAGCUACAGAUUAUUGUAUAUUUCUAAAGAACAAACAAAAGGUAAGAAAAAGAAAAUUAUUUUUAUCAAUUAACAGCAGAAAAAGAUUCGAAAAAAAAAACAGAAACAAAUUUUAUCUUAAUUAAAAUGUUGCAUCAUUCUGGAUUUCUCUUACAUUAGAAUAUAUGUAUAUUUAGCGAAUAGAUACGUCUAUGUGUAUAUAUAAGACGAUAAUAUUGUACAUAAAAAAAGGGCAUGAUAUAACACUAAUCUAAAAUCCAUAUAAAAUCUUCGAAUGAACCACCUUUCGUCCAUGACACAGAUUUAAGGUAAAAAAAAAAAGAUGUAACAUAAAAAGUCUGAAGUUUCCGAGCAAGAAAUCGUAUUUCUUUAUUGAAUUAUUCUUUCUACGUAGGUAAUUCAAUGAAUCAUCUGCAUGUACGUUUCUAUUCUUUUUCAUUGUUCAUCGAUUAUCAUAGUGAUUUCUAUUGUCGAUAGGGUAUACUCGAUUGAACAAUGAAUUGCUUUUACAUCGUUCAAGAAUCGUUGGAUAUUUCGUAACGAGUCCUUUCUUCACGCACCAAGGUGAACCUCUUUGACCGCGUUUUUUCCUUUCUUUCUUUUUCUUGUUUGUUUCUUUUUUUUUUCCCUUUCUUUUCUUUUAUUAUUCUUUCGUUUUUAAAGAGAGGAAGAAAAGUUUCUUCCUAACGUAAAUUUUCGAACGAUAUAAAAUCGAUGAUAUUUCACUCACCCACAUCGCGAUAUCAAAGUUAAAGAAGAAGACGCCGAUCUUGACAGUAACAAAAAUCGAGACAAUAUUUGAAUGAAAAGUUAUAUCGUGGGGAGUUAUAUACCACGGAAGCGGUCGAAAUAAAACUGUAUCUAUAUGUGCGGGUAGACGUACAUCAGAGAAUCUCUGGAUUCGACGUUUAUCCAAGGAAGGAAGCGGAGGAAGAAGAAGAGCCAGUAUAAAAACAAGGCUCUCAUCAGUUUGCUCGAUCACAUGUCGACUAGUGUUCAGCCGAGCUUGGACUACGUGUAACAG